AACGAACGCUGGCGGCAUGCCUAACACAUGCAAGUCGAACGAGACCUUCGGGUCUAGUGGCGCACGGGUGCGUAACGCGUGGGAACCUGCCCUUAGGUUCGGAAUAACUCCCCGAAAGGGGUGCUAAUACCGGAUAAUGUCUUCGGACCAAAGAUUUAUCGCCUUUGGAUGGGCCCGCGUUGGAUUAGCUAGUUGGUAGGGUAAAAGCCUACCAAGGCGACGAUCCAUAGCUGGUCUGAGAGGAUGAUCAGCCACACUGGGACUGAGACACGGCCCAGACCCCUACGGGAGGCAGCGGUGGGGAAUAUUGGCCAGUGGGCGAAAGCCUGCUCCAGCAAUGCCGCGUGGGUGAUGAAGGCCUUGGGGUUUUAAAGCUCUUUUACCCGGGAGGAUAAUGCACGUACCGGGGAAAUAAGCCCCGGCUACCUCCGG
rnacentral:rRNA from 1 species